UAUUCGCUAGUGUAUGAAAUUUCUAUUUUUUUCCGAUGGUCUAUAAACGCAUCACUUGCUGCAACGUGUUCUGAGCUGCUGCGCCACAACUUUCCUCCAUUCCUCCGCGGGUUUUUUAACAAGAAACACACUACUAUUCUCUCUUCCAUAUCACGGAGAGUCGGAGUGAGAAGCCAUGUUAGCUGUGUGCGCAUGAGGCUGAAUUGAGGCCGACAGGUAGUCGCCAUUACACAAAACUUUCUGGCUGGUUUUUCCCGGGGGUAUCCGGUUCCACAUGCAUAAACUUCUUCAUGAUGAUCUUCACUGAAUGAUUUGGCUGAGCCAUCCUGCCUGGUGGGAAAGAACUACUGCAGGCUGAUCCUCCGACUGCUGGUUGCUGAUACCGCUCGACACUGCAUCAUUUCAAGGAGGCGGUGGUGAACAAAUCUUUUAAAGCCAACAAAGAAUAUUUUAAAACUUCAAUUGGUGACCCCGACGUGAUCCACUAAGAACGGCAACGGAGAGUAUCCAGAGCAGGAUUCGGGUUGUCUGAGUCUGGGAUCCCACCACAACAAAGGUAAGCAGUAACC